rnacentral:lncRNA from 1 species
GGGGUGUUCCACUACUGCUCUAGGAUGUCCCUCUAACCUUUACAAAUCUGUGUCUGGGAACAUACAUGGAAAGGCUUGCUCAUGUUCCCUGUGUGCUCAAGGAAGCAAGACAUGAGCUCAGCAUAUCCUCAGCAUCUGGGAUUGUCCUAAAACGGACUUCAAGGGACUCACGGCAUGUUCAUGUCUCCCACAGGCAGCAGCCCCUCACACAAGGCCCAGCUCCCUUCCAGAGGGUCAGCCAUGCCCCUGGAGGUCUGGAUCCUGCGCUCUGCCCUCAGCCUGCUCCUGCUGCUGUCUGCCCCCAUCAUCACCCUCCUCCUGGAGAGAUGCAGCCACGGUGCCAACGAGGCCAGGCAGCCUGGAGACGUCCCUGUCCCCAUGGAGCUCUGAUGCCCCCCUGGGCUCCAUGCUGUCCCCAGCCUGCUCCCCCAUGUUCAGAGCACGACCCCCACCGUGGCCAGGCUCCCGCUGCCAUUGGGUUCAAGGCAGCUGUGGCAGCAUGCCCAAGGGAUGUGCUGCCACUGCUCUGCUUCCCUUGGCUCAGCGCCUGCUCUCUGCUCCCAUCAAGGAUUACCACUGGAUCGUGCACCCUCCCAGCUGGGUUCAACCCCAGCACCCACAUGGCUGCCCUUAAUGCUCACAGAAUCACAUCUACAUCACAGGAUCCAUCUCUGCAUACCGGGAAAACACGAGGGGAUGGAGUCACAGCUGCACCCCCAGGGAGCCAUGCUCUGCAGCUCCUGCAUCACUCCAGCACCUCCCUGUGCCCAAGGUGGUGCUGGCCUCAUUGGGCACAUCCCCAAGUGAUUACAGUGCCCCCUCUCAAGGCACCUUGGUGGGUAUUGGUCCUGUGGGAGGCGAGUUAUAAAGGAUUGGUUCAGAAUGCACCAGCUGAUGUUGCUGCUCUGUAUUUGAGAGGCACGACAGCGAGCAGAGCUGGGAGAGCUGCUCUAUGACUGCCAUAUGGGGCCAUGUGUCCUGCGAGGGAGCUGCUGUUCCCUUUGCCCUGCCACCCAAGAGUUCUCCUACCUACUGACAUUGCCAUGGCUGAUGUGUCAUGUAAAACUGCCUGAGAUCCCAGGAUGGCUGAGGCCAUGUAGAGGUCCAGGGGGUGGCCAUGCCUGGCACUCUGCACCCCAUGCCCACCCAUCUCUGUGCUGGAUUUUCUGUUUCUCAAUGCGCCAUCUCCAGCAGACAGCCCUGAGCAGGGACAUUGUGCAUGGGGGCAUCCAGCUGUGGGCCAGGUGGGGAUGGGGUCUCAGCAUGGCUGGCCCCCACACCCACAGACCAUCCCCAGCUUUGCACUAUGAGGUUUUAGCCAUCCCACACCAAUACCUGGAAGGAGCCAAGGUGUCCCUUCUCUGCAGCUCCCAGUGCUGACAUCUGGGGCCUUGGUGUGCAGUGGGGGACUCUGGGACUCGAUGGGUGCAGGCAGGACAGGAGCUGCUCAGCUGGGAGGCACGAGGAUGCAGGACUGCAUGGAUAGAAUAGGGGAUAGGAAAAUGGGGUCAAAACUCAGCAAGAGCUGCUUGGAGGCAGAGCUGGAGGGGAUGUGGGUUUCAGGCUCCUUCCUGCAAGCACAGUCCCUCACCUCCCAUGCCCUCAUUGAAGCACUUGUCUCACAGCUUCCUUCAGGCCCAUGCAUUCAUGUUUCACAGCACAAGCCUCCAGGAGACUCUUCCUCAAAGGGAAUAUACAGAGUUAGGUGGACGGAGCUACUCCCUCAUUCCCAUACAGCCUCCAACCCUCCCUGGUGAGCCAAUCGCACUGUGGUGCCAGCUGCAAAAUUUCUGAGGGUAACCCCUGACCAGCAUCCUGACAGUAAUGAAGAUAUUGAAUGGAAUUCGACGUAAUUAGGAAGAAUUUAGGAAGAACUUCUUUACAAAAAGGGUUGUUAAAAAUUGGAAUGGGCUGCCCAUGGAGGUGGUGGAGUCACCAUCCCUGGAGACCUUUAAAAGACGUUUGGAUGUAGAGCUUAGGGAUAUGGUUUAGUGGAGGACUUGUUAGUCUUAGGUCAGAGGUUGGACUUGAUGAUUUUGAGGUCUCUUCCAACCUAGAAAUUCUGUGAUUCUGUGAUUCUGUGAUUUGGAUCCCUGGAGUACACUACCAGUUAGCAGCCUUCAGCUAAUGUGGUGCAAUUGCCUAAAGUAACUAGGAAAAUAAAACUAACAUUCAUGUUUUAAAGAAAAUGUAC